rnacentral:rRNA from 1 species
GACGAACGCUGGCGGCGUGCUUAACACAUGCAAGUCGAACGGAAAGGCCCUGCUUUUGUGGGGUGCUCGAGUGGCGAACGGGUGAGUAACACGUGAGUAACCUGCCCUUGACUUUGGGAUAACUUCAGGAAACUGGGACUAAUACCGGAUAGGAGCUCCUGCUGCAUGGUGGGGGUUGGAAAGUUUCGGCGGUUGGGGAUGGACUCGCGGCUUAUCAGCUUGUUGGUGGGGUAGUGGCUUACCAAGGCUUUGACGGGUAGCCGGCCUGAGAGGGUGACCGGCCACAUUGGGACUGAGAUACGGCCCAGACUCCUACGGGAGGCAGCAGUGGGGAAUAUUGCACAAUGGGCGGAAGCCUGAUGCGGCAACGCCGCGUGCGGGAUGACGGCCUUCGGGUUGUAAACCGCUUUCGCCUGUGACGAAGCGUGAGUGACGGUAAUGGGUAAAGAAGCACCGGCUAACUACGUGCCAGCAGCCGCGGUGAUACGUAGGGUGCGAGCGUUGUCCGGAUUUAUUGGGCGUAAAGGGCUCGUAGGUGGUUGAUCGCGUCGGAAGUGUAAUCUUGGGGCUUAACCCUGAGCGUGCUUUCGAUACGGGUUGACUUGAGGAAGGUAGGGGAGAAUGGAAUUCCUGGUGGAGCGGUGGAAUGCGCAGAUAUCAGGAGGAACACCAGUGGCGAAGGCGGUUCUCUGGGCCUUUCCUGACGCUGAGGAGCGAAAGCGUGGGGAGCGAACAGGCUUAGAUACCCUGGUAGUCCACGCUGUAAACGGUGGGUACUAGGUGUGGGGUCCAUUCCACGGGUUCCGUGCCGUAGCUAACGCUUUAAGUACCCCGCCUGGGGAGUACGGCCGCAAGGCUAAAACUCAAAGGAAUUGACGGGGCCCCGCACAAGCGGCGGAGCAUGCGGAUUAAUUCGAUGCAACGCGUAGAACCUUACCUGGGUUUGACAUGGAUCGGGAGUGCUCAGAGAUGGGUGUGCCUCUUUUGGGGUCGGUUCACAGGUGGUGCAUGGCUGUCGUCAGCUCGUGUCGUGAGAUGUUGGGUUAAGUCCCGCAACGAGCGCAACCCUUGUUCACUGUUGCCAGCACGUUAUGGUGGGGACUCAGUGGAGACCGCCGGGGUCAACUCGGAGGAAGGUGGGGAUGACGUCAAGUCAUCAUGCCCCUUAUGUCCAGGGCUUCACGCAUGCUACAAUGGCUGGUACAGAGAGUGGCGAGCCUGUGAGGGUGAGCGAAUCUCGGAAAGCCGGUCUCAGUUCGGAUUGGGGUCUGCAACUCGACCUCAUGAAGUCGGAGUCGCUAGUAAUCGCAGAUCAGCAACGCUGCGGUGAAUACGUUCCCGGG